rnacentral:rRNA from 1 species
UACGAAGGGGGCUAGCGUUGCUCGGAAUUACUGGGCGUAAAGCGCACGUAGGCGGUCUUUUAAGUCGGGGGUGAAAUCCUGGAGCUCAACUCCAGAACUGCCUUCGAUACUGGAAGACUUGAGUCCGGGAGAGGUGAGUGGAACUGCGAGUGUAGAGGUGAAAUUCGUAGAUAUUCGCAAGAACACCAGUGGCGAAGGCGGCUCACUGGCCCGGUACUGACGCUGAGGUGCGAAAGCGUGGGGAGCAAGACGG